GAGAAAAAAAAGACGCAUCACUGUACGGGGCUUCCUCCUCCUCGCCGAUAUUUUUCAAAGCAGUGGCCGGCAGCGACGGCCGCGCCGAUGAGCCGGAUGCGGCGCGCCUCCGGCUCUCCGGAAGGGCUACGAAUUGCUCGGCGGUGUGGAGUCCCAGCUUUGAGCCCCUUCUAAUUCGACAGGUGAUUGACGUGCUCAUAAAGCUCAUAUGAGUCUGGAGCGUGAUGUGGAGAUCAUGUUCUACUGGACGUCAAGCAAUGCACAAUGAUGUGCUGGGAUGGUAUAGCACGAGGUUGAACAUAUAUGGUUGCACUGGAACAAAUUCUUCUAAGGUUAGACAUAUGAAGCCGAUGGCCUGUACAGUCUAGCACAUCGACCUAGAGGUUAGUCGGAAUAGAGAAGUGUGGUAAGAUCCGCGCCGACGAAAUAAAAGCGUGAUGUUGAU